GCCGGACCUUGGUGGCACACAUCUU
rnacentral:piRNA from 1 species